UAAGAUUGGAGGCGAUGGCAUCGAUCGUUACAACUUAUCAUGGUUAUGAGAUCUGUUUCUAGACGCGAGGUAGAAUUUUGGUGUGCCCCUGAAGUUGGGUAGUAGAGGUGGGUGUUGGUAGCUUUUGGCCCGGGGCUAUCUGUAGUGUUCAACGUUAUUCUGCACCUUUUGUUUACUAGUAAAUUGUAUGUGCUUUGCACGUCACUUAAAUAUAUAAAAGCAUGGGAAAAUACAUUUGAAUAUGUAUUUCCUUUCCUAGAAUCAUAUUAGACAAGAUCCAACUUGUUGGUUAUUAGUCCCAGUUUUGUAAGAUUCUCCCAGAACCUGACCCCUUCCUAGCUUCGCUCAGAAUCUUUGAGCCGCAUUUGUUUUAUUAUCCUAUUUAGUUAGGGUCUAAUUAGCUAGGAUUCUAAAACAAAUGGUGUCAAAGAUUCUGAAAGAAGUUAAUGAG
rnacentral:lncRNA from 1 species